AUCCUGCAAAAGCCACAGAUGUGGCCAGAGCCAUGCAGAGAUUCCAUCCCAGGUCUGUACGAUGAUAAGAUGUCCCAAGUCAUCACCUUGUAGUGCCUUCCUGAAUAACCGACAAGGAAUGAAGCACAGUGGCAAGAAAUGAUGUCAAACAUGAUUAAAUGUUACCAGGACAAGAUGGUGAUUUUUGCAAGCCUGUGACGUGAGAAAUCUGGGCCUAUUAUGAAUGAGGAAUUUCCAGAAUGUGCUUUUGAAAGUUUUUCAGAGUAAGUCAAGUGCUGUGGGUGCUAUGACUGAGGGGGAGACGUAAUCACAACCAGCUGGAAAGUGUUGGCCAGCCAGUUUUUCUUUACAUCCUCUACAUGA